UUAAAGCACCAUAUAUCUUUUUCAGUCAGAUACACCUCAGAAAAGAUCACUAACUUCUAUGGAUCUUGCGAAUCAGUUGUGGACAGGCCAAGGGGUAGUAACAGGUUCACAGUUCCAUGCCAGGUCAUUCCAGAAAAAUACUUCUCUCUCUAGGAGAAGAUUUCAAGUUGCUUAAUGACAUAUAGGAGAAAGAAGAGAAGAAAAUAUUAUUGCCACACAGUCAAAAUCCUCAAUAAUGCAACAAUCCCUAGGAAUACUGAAAUUUUGCCUCUGAGUGUUCAGUAUGUGUGCGUAUUGCCUGAAUGUAGAGUGCCAUUUGGUUUCUAAAAGUAUAAAUUUCUACUAAACUGAAUAAGAAAGAGGCCUUUAUGUUCCUAUUUUUUUAUGUGGACCCAAUUCACAAUUAGAGCUAAGCCGAAUUAUAUAUCAGUCUUCAUUUUAUGAUUUUCAGAAGACCUUUGAAAAUAGUAAUUGGUCAUGGUUUUUGCAUUCUUCUACAUUUUAAAUGUCAUCAACUAUACUUUCCUGAAAGAGUUGAACAUUUCUGUAUUCAUAUGCAGUGUGUUUCUAAAAGUCUUCUGAUAUAAAACAGCACCCUUGUUUAAAAAUAAAGAAUAAAAUAAAACAUGAGCGUCACCACAAAAUAUGGCCCUAAUGCAAACAAUUCUUACCUAAAAUUUAGUUUGUUUCCUGCAGAAAAAGGUCUUUGCAGUUGCAUAGCUUCCUUAUUCCAAAAGCCCCUGAAACAUGCUUGUGGGCCCUUCUAAAUAUUUUUUUAGACUCACAAAUUAGUGAAAAUAUAACUAAAUUUUGAAAGGCAUUUCAAUGUUUGGACUACGCAAUGUUCUCUAUAUGGGCUAUGCUUGAAGAGCAUUCAGAGCAUUGUGCAGAAUGCGGCAGUACAGGGAGUUCUUGUGGGUGGCUCAUGUUUCACCACUGUUCCAUGAACUACACUGGUUGCUGGUUUGUUUUCAGAUGCAAUUCAAGGUGUGGGUUAUUACUUUUAAAUGCCUGCAUAGCAUGAGUCCAGGUUAUUUGAAGAACUCUCUCACCCCAUUGGGAUUGCCCAUCCCACCCAUGCUGGCAGAGCAUGCAUGCUGCGGAGCCCCUCAGUCAAGGAAUUUUGGCUGAUGGGGUCAACGAGAAGGGUCGUCUCUGCCGUGCCUCCUAUCCCUGAGGUUUGAUUGGUUCUCACCCUUUUGAUCUUCCGCAAGAGCCUAAAGAUCUGGUUCUGGCAGAUAGCUUGGGAUCCCAAUGAGGCAACAUCACAAUGGAAGUAGUUGAUGAAUUAAGAGGCAAUCCCACUUCUGUUCAUCCUGUUCUCCACUUCCUAUCUUUUAACUAUACUUUUAUAUCUUUCCAUUCCAUUUUUAUUGUUUUAGAAAUAUUCAGUGCUUUUAAUACUGUAAGUCCAGAGAUGGGUUGCUACUGAUUCGGUCCAGUUCGGCUGAACUAGUAGUGGAAUUCAGGCCUGUGGCACAGAACGGGCACCAACCCAGGCCUGCCACGUCCCCGAACCAGCGCACACAUGCAUGUUGCACGCGGGUUGCGAACUGGCAGUAACGCCGGCAGUAACCCACCCCUGUGUAAGCCGCCCAGAAUUCCUGUGGAACAAGAUGGGCAACAAAUUUAAUAAACAAAUAAAUAAAUAAAUAAAUAAAUAUGCACUUAAAAGGUUAUGCAUACUGUAUACACAUGCUGAAAGCAUACAUCAACCAGAAUAAAAACUGAACUCAAUAUGUUAAUAUAAUUCCAUGGUUUAUAUCCUUAGAUGAGCAGAUUGAUACCUUUGUAAUAUCUAUUAUGUGAUUUUUCAAUAAUAAUAAUUACGGUUAUGAGGAUUGAUGUUGUGAGUUUUGGAUUUGAAAGGAAAUUUGAAAAUGCUUCAGCCCUUUUACACCCACGUAGCACCAGCCAGCCACUUGUUAACGUUCUGAAUUGUGUAGCUCCCUUUGGCAACUGCAGUGUAAUCCAAAGAUUUGAUUUGGGGAGUUUCAUAAGGUGUUAUGUGCAGAGCCCUGAUAAUCAUAAGUUGGGAAUGCUCAAUUUGUCCCAGAUUCUUUCCAGAUGCCUAGGUGGAGCACAUGCUAACCCCAACCACCACACUAAUCAUUGUACCAGCCAUCUUGUCUUGCAAAUUAAUUAGUAUGUUAACUCUGUUAAUCAGUUAAGUAUUAAAAGACAGUGCAGAAGGAAUCAAUAUUCUUUCCUGAACAGUGUUUUUAGUUAAGAAAGAUUUUUUUGUACUAUUUGUAAGCAGAAAUCUUUAAGUAUGUAGAAAUUAGAAUUUAAAUUUUCCUGCCUCUUGUUUCUGCUGUAUAGUCCCCUUGCUAUAAUUUUUGGCCUAUCUAUUUGUUAUAUAAAAUAUCUUCAAGCAACAUACUAUUGUAGGUAGUUUUCCUUUGCCUUUUUAAAAAUAUAAUCCCUAAUCAUCUUAUUGUUGUUUAUUCAGCUUGUGACUAUUGAAGGAUAAUUUAGAGAGCAAUUUCAUUUAUUGACAAUUAUUAAUAAGUCAAGAGCUAUAAAAUAAUGCAGAUGAGUUUAUUCAUGCAGAAUAACUUAGGCACAUCAUCAUGAACUGAACCUGUUACUGAAUUGUCAGGUUUUUGCUUUCUAAAAUUGUUAAUGUCAAAUGUAAAUCAGAUAUUUUUGUCUACUCAUUCAGCAGCCCAAUUUAUAAUAUCCUUCAAAAUCAAACGAAUCUGUAAAAAUGUAUAUAGAAUGUUAAAGUUUAGAAAUUGCUUUCUAAACUUUAAAUUUGUAUUUUUAUGAGAACUUAUCCAAUUUACCCUUUCCAAAUAUAUAUGUAUAAUUUAUAUGUUGAAAUAGAUUUUUAAAAAUGUUAAAUGCUAUAAUAUGAUGAAUGCAUAGAACUAUUAAUAAAAAAGCACUUCCAAAACUGAA